rnacentral:rRNA from 1 species
UACGGAGGAUGCGAGCGUUAUCCGGAUUUAUUGGGUUUAAAGGGUGCGUAGGCGGAGUGCCAAGUCAGCGGUAAAAAUUCGGGGCUCAACCCCGUCGUGCCGUUGAAGCUGGCGCCCUUGAGUGGGCGAGAAGUAUGCGGAAUGCGUGGUGUAGCGGUGAAAUGCAUAGAUAUCACGCAGAACCCCGAUUGCGAAGGCAGCAUACCGGCGCCCGACUGACGCUGAAGCACGAAAGCGUGGGUAUCGAACAGG